UACAGAGGUGGCAAGCGUUGUUCGGAAUUACUGGGCGUAAAGGGCGCGUAGGCGGCCUUCUAAGUCAGACGUGAAAUCCCCGGGCUUAACCUGGGAAUGGCAUUUGGGACUGCAAGGCUCGAGUGCGGCAGAGGAGACUGGAAUUCCUGGUGUAGCGGUGAAAUGCGCAGAUAUCAGGAGGAACACCGGUGGCGAAGGCGGAUCUCUGGGCCUUACCUGACGCUCAGGUGCGAAAGCUAGGGGAGCGAACAGG
rnacentral:rRNA from 1 species